rnacentral:rRNA from 1 species
GAUGAACGCUGGCGGCGUGCCUAAUACAUGCAAGUCGAGCGAAGCGGGGACGGUUGAGUAACACGUGGAUAACCUCCUAUAAGACUGGGAUAACUUCGGGAAACCGGAGCUAAACCGGAUACUUAUACAUGGAUCCGCGCUGCAUCAGAUAGUUGUUAAGGUAACUGCUUACAAAGGCAACGAUGCAAAGCCGACCUGAGAGGGUUAUCGGCACCAUGUGAAAGUAGACCCGGUCCAGACUCCUACGGGAGGCAGCAGUAGGGACUCUUCCGCAAUGGGCACAAGCCUGACGGAGCAACGCCGCGUGAGUGAUGAAGGUCGUCGGAUCGUAAAACUCUGUUAUUAGGGAAGCGGUACCUAAUCAGAAAGCCACGGCUAACUACGUGCCAGCAGCCGCGGUAAUAC